UCCAGGGUGGCAUAAGCAAUGGCAAUGCCAUCGUGUGUGCUCGUGCCCCGGCCCAGCUCGUCCAGGAUCACUAGCGACCUCGAGGUGGCUCUUCUGAUGAUCUCAGCGGUGUCUGUCAGCUCCUCCAUGAAGGUGCUGCGGCCUUUGUAGAUGUUGUCUGCAGCGCCCAUUCUGCACCGGGACACAGAACACAAAAAUCUCAUUACCAAUGUCAGCUAAUGCUGGAAAAAAAUAAUCAUGGGCAUGAAACCAUUCUGUUAUGAUCUCUACAAACAGAGGAGAAGAAUGCAGGCAGAGCAUUCACCUUCCAGAACAGUCUCCCAGCUAACAUUUCUCCCACCUUCACAAAGAGCACAAGAUAGCCUGCUUUUCCCCCAAAAAGAACCCUGCACUUCAGACCAGUCAGCUCAUGAGAAUUCCUCCAAAGUCCUGCCCACAAGGAACGUGCAGACAGGCAGCAUGAGCAGCGUCUCUUUGGAUCCAUCACUCCCUCAGCAGAUGCAAUUUGGCUGGAAAACACUUGUUUUAAUGUCUCUUUGACAGCCAACCAAACCCUGCAAAAUUAAAAGCUCUUCAUCUUAUGGCGUUCAACACAUUUAUUAUGCAAACUAAAAAAAAAAAGAAGAAAAAAGAAGAAGAAGAAGAAGAGGAUAGAUUAUCUGUUUUCAGUGCUCGGUUCAAGUAGCACAGAUUCCUGGCAAAGGCCUCAGAAAAACCAGCAGAGAGGCAAUGUUUUGCAAGUUAAUUUUCAGAGGCCAGAGGAAAGAAGAACACCCAUGGACUCAAUCUUUUCAAAAGCUUCAGAUGGACUGACAGGACAGGUGGGACAGAAUCCCUGUCAGUCAAUCCAGGCCCUGAGACAUCAAAAGUUACCAGGACCCCUCAUCCCUAAACUCCAUGGACUAACAGAAACUCAGUUACUACUAAAGUUUAGGCCACUUUACCUAGUGAGGAACACCUAAUAAACUUGCUUGCUGAAAUUCAGUAAUGAUAAUCUCAGCAACAUCUGAACUUCUCAAAAAUACUUGUUGCAUUGUCUAGGGCAAAUUCAUCAUCACCUCUUAAAUUACCAGUGUAAAUGUUACUGAUGGGCAAGAGAAAGACCAGCUUGUGAGUGCAAACAUUUUGCUGAAGGAUAAAUUACAAAAGCAGAUACUCAAAUUAGGGCGUUUCUUUGAGAGUCAUCACUAUGAGCUGGAGGAAGGUGAAAAAACCGGAGACAAAUCAACACUUUAAAUAUGCACAGGUUUGCACUCACUGCUUGGGACACCAGGGAGGGAACUCAAGGUAAUUAAGUUAAUGUGCAUUUGUAGCUGAAGGAUUGAGGCCAGGAGGGAUUAAAGAGCAGGAACUAUAGCAACAGAGCAGGGACAAUGGCUGAAGCACUCAGCACAAGUGAACUUUUCCCCUUUAGACCUGUGGAUGCAAGGACAAUCCAAUUCCACCUGUGACUGGGUCAAGUCACAGGAUGGAAGAGUUUCAGAAAGGUAAAUACAGCCACUCCACCUCACUGUGAAACAGCUGGCUGGCUUUGCAGGCAGAUUUCCUCCUCCCCUCCCGGUGCAGCAGCCUGGGGAAAACCUCCCCAGCCCAGGAGGGGCAGCAGGAGUGCUCUGAGAGUCUCCCUGAGUGUGCACAGCUGCCCUGCACUGCCUGAGAGGGACUCCCAGGGCACAGUGCAGCCCCUGCACACACAAGGGCUGCUUGCAUUCACACUUCACCCAGCAACCAUGCAUGCACCCCAAAGGCUGUCUGGUUGAGUAUGGCAGUAUUCCAUCUAUAAGAGAUGCAAACCUCACACUGCAGACGCAUGUUUCUGUGAAAUGAACAGAGACAUGAAACCAAAUUAGCUGCAGAUACAUGCACAGCCUGGCUUAACUUGUUCCUACAGAGCCACAGAACACUGUCAGAAGCAAUUACAGUUCAAAUGCACUGUGAUACGUCCAAGACACAACUUUUCUACAAAAACAGAACAAAAUAAUUCUUCCAUUUAACAACACUAACUACAACUUUCACUUUUUUUUUUAUCCAAACCAAAGCUAUCUCCACAUGAUAAAAAAUAGUGCAAUGUACUUAAUACAGCACCCUGUUCUUCCCUGAAAGAUGGGAACAAUUGACCCCAGAAGUGCAAUUACAUGACUGAUUGUGAGCAUAAAUGAAAGGCUUAAGUAAUUCUUGUUACUCUGGCAGUAAACAAAAAUACAAUUAAGGAGGAACAAAAUGAAGCAAAUUACUGUGCCAUAAAGAAGUAACAUUUCUGAAAAUUACUUUGGGGUUAUUGACAGCUAAAAGUUCUGUUGGUCUGACUCAUUGUGCUUUCAAUACAAACAAUACUUUCUUGGCAUGUCAGUAUAUAAAAUUCUCAUGUGGACUUGCCAUUCACUUGGGAUUGCUUUGUGAGAACAGCUCCCUUCUUUUCUGCACAAUAAAUAAAUCAAUGUGCAUGGCAGAACCACGAAGCUUUACCACAUACAUACACAAUAAACCUGAAAAAGUACCUUUGA